rnacentral:antisense_RNA from 1 species
AUUUGAAUUCAUCACCUCUACUGAUUCACAUUAAUAAAUGUUAAUGGAAUGGGCAAGGAAAUGAUCCGACCUUUUGAAGAUCCAUGGACUGCAAGCAAAUAUGACAAGUAGGGUGGCUCUACCCUUGCUAAUUUCAAAAGGCACAAGCAAUAAAGGGGUUCAUCUGCAUGACACUGGCCCCUGUGGACAGGGCCUUUAAAAUGAAUAUCUACAAAAGAAGUGAUAAUCCUGCUACAAUGGAGGGAAACCAUCAACAGAAGACUGAUUUCUGAAAUUUUCUGAAAUACGGAAAAACGGAAAGCAGAAAGUAAAGUACAAUAUUUACUCACGCAGCAAAACAAGGGAAGCCAUAAUCUUGAAUAUGGGCAUCAACGGGGGAUAAGAAAACACCGACCCGUUUGUCAGAAGUCCAGUGAGGUGCUAUAGGAGGAGUGGGUGAGAAGUUUCCGAAAACACUAGAUUUAAUUAAAGACG